AGCUUGACACUGAACAUUGAGCCUUGAUGUGUAGGAUAGGUGGGAGGCUUUGAAGUGUGGACGCCAGUCUGCAUGGAGCCAACCUUGAAAUACCACCCUUUAAUGUUUGAUGUUCUAACGUUGCCCCAUAAUCUGGGGUGCGGACAGUGUCUGGUGGGUAGUUUGACUGGGGCGGUCUCCUCCCAAAGCGUAACGGAGGAGCACGAAGGUUGGCUAAGCAUGGUCGGACAUCAUGCGGUUAGUGCAAAG
rnacentral:rRNA from 1 species